rnacentral:rRNA from 1 species
UGAGGAAUAUUGGUCAAUGGUCGAGAGACUGAACCAGCCAAGUCGCGUGAAGGAUGACUGCCCUAUGGGUUGUAAACUUCUUUUACAAGGGAAUAAAAUGAGAUACGUGUAUUUUAUUGCAGGUACCUUGUGAAUAAGCAUCGGCUAACUCCGUGCCAGCAGCCGCGGUAAUACGGAGGAUGCGAGCGUUAUCCGGAUUUAUUGGGUUUAAAGGGUGCGUAGGUGGGCUGUUAAGUCAGCGGUGAAAGUUUGUCGCUUAACGAUAAAAUUGCCGUUGAAACUGGUAGUCUUGAGUAUAGAUGAAGUAGGCGGAAUGCGUGGUGUAGCGGUGAAAUGCAUAGAGAUCACGCAGAACUCCGAUUGCGAAGGCAGCUUACUAAGGUAUAACUGACACUGAAGCACGAAAGCGUGGGUAUCAAACAGG